rnacentral:tRNA from 1 species
GGAGACGUGGCCGAGAGGCUGAAGGCACUCGUUUGCUAAAUGAGCAAGCCCCAAAAGGGCUUCGAGGGUUCGAAUCCCUCCGUCUCCGCCA